UAUAAACAUAUUUAAUAAUAAAAUUAUAAAAUUGGGACGGUAUCAAGAAGAUUAGCAUGGGCUUGCGCAAGGAUGAGACCUUUAAAUCGAGAUAUGGUCCAAAUUUUU
rnacentral:snRNA from 1 species